rnacentral:lncRNA from 1 species
GAAUGGAAUGAAACCAAACAUUGCAUGAAUGUUCCUUAUGGUGCUGACCAAGUGUUGUUACUUUGUAGCCGAUCCAUCAUCCAAGAUGGCCGCCAGCAUGGGACUUAGUUUAACAUAGGACCCUAUGGGAAAUGCAUACAAAUGACUUCUUUUAGAGAACCACUGAAUGGAAUGAAAUCAAACAUGGCAUGAAUGUUCCUAAUGUGGUGCUGACCAAGUGUUGUUACUUUGUAGCCGAUCCAUUAUCCAAGAUGGCCGCCAGCAGGGGACUUAGUUUAACAUAGGACCCUAUGGGAAAUGCAUACAAAUGACUUCUUUUAGAGAACCACUGAAUGGAAUGAAAACCAAACAUUGCAUGAAUGUUCCUUAUGAGG